rnacentral:rRNA from 1 species
UACGGAGGAUGCGAGCGUUAUCCGGAUUUAUUGGGUUUAAAGGGUGCGUAGGCGGCUUAGUAAGUCAGCGGUGAAAUUUUGCAGCUUAACUGUAACAGUGCCGUUGAUACUGCCAGGCUAGGAUUUGGUUGCUGUGGGUGGAAUGUGUGGUGUAGCGGUGAAAUGCUUAGAUAUCACACAGAAUAUCGAUUGCGAAGGCAGCUCACAAAGCCAAGAUUGACGCUAAGGCACGAAAGUGUGGGGAUCAAACAGGA